GACCGAGACAUACUCUUUGUGUUUAUACGCGGUGUGUCAAACAACAUAACUCGCGGGUGCGGAAGAGUAUCCUCUGCCUAAGAGGUGGGUUAUAUUGGGAUUUUAAAUAACACACGGGGUGAGAGAUAAGAGUUUUGUUUUUAUCUCCCGGAGUUCAAGAAAAAAACCGAAAUUUGUUACAAGAGAUGGCCCUUAAUGUUUGUGUGGGGAAUAUAAAGAGGAAGUUGGGGUUUUCGGUCUCUCUACCAAGAGGGUUUCCAGAGAAAUUUUUUUUGUGAUAUUAGAAAGUUUCUUUAGAUUUAAAUUUUAAAGAGACUUUAAAGGAUUUUUAAUUGUUUACUUGAAAUUGGAAAAAUAAAAAAUCAAAACUUUAACAUGGAUUUCCUGGGUUUGGCAUGGAUAAGAAGCCAGCAAAUUGGGUAAAGUAAUGGAAAUGCCGAAUCAGGGAAUCAUCGAAUUUUUGAACGCACAUUGCACCUUUUGGAAUCCGAAAGGUAUAUUGUUCGAGCGUCAUUUACAAUUCUCCAGGCUUUGCUUGGUCUUGAUAAUUGUUGGAUUUUAGACAUUAUUGAAAUAGAUUGUUUUGAUCAAAUCUAAAUUCAAACGUAACAAUUUUUUCGUUUAGUUUUUAAGUUUGAAUCAUGAUCAAAAAUAGUUUGGGUCUAAUGUUUAAACCAAAGUUCAAUUAAUUUGUACCCAAGUCAGCGAAGGGUAGGCCACCAGCUUACUUAGUAGUUGUACCUACAGUCAUCGAAAGGUUAGGUUACUAGCUUAACUUGGUAGGUUGUACCUAGGUCAAAUUAAAUCGUACCCAAAGUCUAGUUAGAAGGUACCCAAAUAACCCACUUAAAUUUUUGACCUCGAAUCAAAUAAGAAUACCCGCUGAACUUAAGCAUAUCAAUAAGCGGAGGAAAAGAAACCAACAGGGAUUACCUCAGUAACGGCGAGUGAAGCGGUAAAAGCUCAAAUUUGAAAUCUCCUUCUUUGAAAAAAGUUGGCGAGUUGUAAUUUGUAGAGGAUGUUUUUGGUGAAAUUUCGAUCCAAAUUCCUUGGAAUAGGAUAUCAAAGAGGGUGAGAAUCCCGUAUUUGAUCAGAAAUUGAUCCUACAUAAAACUCCUUCGAAGAGUCGAGUUGUUUGGGAAUGCAGCUCUAAUUGGGAGGUAUAUUUCUUCUAAAGCUAAAUACAAGCCAGAAACCGAUAGCGCACAAGUAGAGUGAUCGAAAGAUGAAAAGCACUUUGAAAAGAGAGUCAAAAAGUACGUGAAAUUGUUGAAAGGGAAUCAUUUAUUAUCAGACAUGAAAUUGUUGUUCAAUUUUGUCUUUGACAAGAUGAAUUCAUCAAUCUUCAGGCCAUCAUCAUUUUUUUAAUGGUUGAAAAAAUCUUUUGAAAAGUAGCUCAACUUGUUGAGAGUAUAAUCAAAAGAAAAAUCAAAUCUUUUAAAAA
rnacentral:rRNA from 1 species